rnacentral:rRNA from 1 species
ACCCAAUAGAUACCCCGGUAGUCCACGCCGUAAACGAUGGGUGCUAGACGUUGGCGGGCUUGCUCGUCAGUGUCGCAGCUAAACGCGUUAAGCACCCCGCCUGGGGAGUACGGCCGCAAGGUUGAAACUCAAAGGAAUUGACGGGGGCCCGCACAAGCGGUGGAGCAUGUGAUUCAAUUCGACGCAACGCGCAGAACCUUACCAGCCCUUGACAUGGGACUCGCCGGGACCAGAGACGGUCCCUUCGGUUCGGCCGGAGUCCGCACAGGUGCUGCGUGGCUGUCGUCAGCUCGUGUCGUGAGAUGUUGGGUUAAGUCCCGCAACGAGCGCAACCCUCGUCUCCAGUUGCCAUCAGGUUAAGCUGGGCACUUUGGAGAAACUGCCGGUGACAAGCCGGAGGAAGGUGGGGAUGACGUCAAGUCCUCAUGGCCCUUACGGGCUGGGCUACACACGUGCUACAAUGGCGGUGACAAUGNGGAAGCGAAGUGCGAGCCGGAGCCGAAUCCCGAAAAGCCGUACCGAGUU